rnacentral:rRNA from 1 species
GACGAACGCUGUCGGCGUGCUUAACACAUGCAAGUCGAACGGAAAGGCCCUGCUUUUGUGGGGUGCUCGAGUGGCGAACGGGUGAGUAACACGUGAGUAACCUGCCCUUGACUUUGGGAUAACUUCAGGAAACUGGGGCUAAUACCGGAUAGGAGCUCCUGCUGCAUGGUGGGGGUUGGAAAGUUUCGGCGGUUGGGGAUGGACUCGCGGCUUAUCAGCUUGUUGGUGGGGUAGUGGCUUACCAAGGCUUUGACGGGUAGCCGGCCUGAGAGGGUGACCGGCCACAUUGGGACUGAGAUACGGCCCAGACUCCUACGGGAGGCAGCAGUGGGGAAUAUUGCACAAUGGGCGGAAGCCUGAUGCAGCAACGCCGCGUGCGGGAUGACGGCCUUCGGGUUGUAAACCGCUUUCGCCUGUGACGAAGCGUGAGUGACGGUAAUGGGUAAAGAAGCACCGGCUAACUACGUGCCAGCAGCCGCGGUGAUACGUAGGGUGCGAGCGUUGUCCGGAUUUAUUGGGCGUAAAGGGCUCGUAGGUGGUUGAUCGCGUCGGAAGUGUAAUCUUGGGGCUUAACCCUGAGCGUGCUUUCGAUACGGGUUGACUUGAGGAAGGUAGGGGAGAAUGGAAUUCCUGGUGGAGCGGUGGAAUGCGCAGAUAUCAGGAGGAACACCAGUGGCGAAGGCGGUUCUCUGGGCCUUUCCUGACGCUGAGGAGCGAAAGCGUGGGGAGCGAACAGGCUUAGAUACCCUGGUAGUCCACGCUGUAAACGGUGGGUACUAGGUGUGGGGUCCACUCCACGGGUUCCGUGCCGUAGCUAACGCUUUAAGUACCCCGCCUGGGGAGUACGGCCGCAAGGCUAAAACUCAAAGGAAUUGACGGGGCCCCGCACAAGCGGCGGAGCAUGCGGAUUAAUUCGAUGCAACGCGUAGAACCUUACCCGGGUUUGACAUGGAUCGGGAGUGCUCAGAGAUGGGUGUGCCUCUUUUGGGGUCGGUUCACAGGUGGUGCAUGGCUGUCGUCAGCUCGUGUCGUGAGAUGUUGGGUUAAGUCCCGCAACGAGCGCAACCCUUGUUCACUGUUGCCAGCACGUUAUGGUGGGGACUCAGUGGAGACCGCCGGGGUCAACUCGGAGGAAGGUGGGGAUGACGUCAAGUCAUCAUGCCCCUUAUGUCCAGGGCUUCACGCAUGCUACAAUGGCUGGUACAGAGAGUGGCGAGCCUGUGAGGGUGAGCGAAUCUCGGAAAGCCGGUCUCAGUUCGGAUUGGGGUCUGCAACUCGACCUCAUGAAGUCGGAGUCGCUAGUAAUCGCAGAUCAGCAACGCUGCGGUGAAUACGUUCCCGGG